GAAGAUUUAAACACUAUGCAAUCACUAUGUGUUUCUAAGGAUGGUAGUGUUGGUAGUGGAGAGGCAGAGAGUGGUAAAAAUAUAAGAUCUGGCAAAUCUCAGUGUUAAAAAGUGUGAGACCCAUUAUGUGAAUACUUGCUAAGGAACCAUUCCAAGGUCCUGUAAAUCCCUCUCCUUUCUUUUUUAUGCUUUCUGCUCUAUGACUGAGCUUUAAGCAGCUCAGGAUCCCACACCUCCCUUCCCAUCCAAGCAUGCACAGGGGCAUUCAUUAGAUGACAGGAGCAGAAAUGGCUCCAGCAAUCAACUUCAGAUCUUUUCUUUAAGGGGUUUGACAAGGUGACUACCCAAGUGCACUGCAGAAUUGAAAAUGUGACUGUGCUGAAUAUGGAAGUCCAGGUGAAGGAGUGAGGAGGCAAAGAGCUCUUCCCUUCUGCCAGCUGUGGGGUGAGGAACACAAGGUCCAGCCUGCACACACUGUCCAAUGCUGUCUUUGGAAAAGCACACAGAGAGGCCCACAUAGAAAUCUCUCUGAACUGUCCUUGGUGUCAUGAACACCAUGAGACUGUGCAAAAUUCCUGUGUUGAAUGGAAAUGACUCCUGCCCUAUCACUGGUUCCCCAUUUUCUUCCUAAAAUAUCCAUGAAGAUGAGCUAAAC
rnacentral:lncRNA from 1 species